CUCAACCACUGUGCCAAGCCAGCUGGGAGCUGCUAUUUUAUGAAGUUUCAAAACUUUAGGAAUAAAGUGAGUCAAGUGGAAAGCUAGGAGAAUUCCUGCAAGGGAUGACAAAAACCACAAAGUAAAAUAGGAAGUUAGGGAGAAAGUAAUGAAGGGCCUCAUCACUGCUGUGGGUAAAUAGUAGCAAUGUGUGUAAUUUUAAGGGGGGAAGACUACUUUUAAUAAUCCAAGUAGUAACUAAUACUAAGUGGUAGAGUGGAGAUGGUGAUUCUGGAUGUGCUUUGAAGUUUAAAGAUUUGUUCAUUCCAGGUUUGGGCA